AAGUCGUAACAAGGUUUCCGUAGGUGAACCUGCGGAAGGAUCAUUAAAAGAUUUUGUUUUUUGGGGUUUUAAAUUCCAAAAAAUAAUUCACCUUUUGUGCAUUGUUAUUAGAUAUACUUUGGUUAGAGCUUUGAUUUCAUUUUAUUGGAAUCAACUUCUUGCUAACUCUAUCCUAUUUGCAUGGGACUAUUCAGUAGGACUAUUGAAUGGGACAGUUGGCUAUGAAGCGGCCUACCAAGGUUUUUUAUCAAACUCUUGUAUUUUGUCUGACCUAAACUACUAUAAUUAAAUCAUAACUUUCAACAACGGAUCUCUUGGCUCUC
rnacentral:misc_RNA from 1 species